UACGUAGGGUGCAAGCGUUGUCCGGAAUUAUUGGGCGUAAAGAGCUCGUAGGCGGUCCGUCACGUCGGCUGUGAAAACUCGGGGCUCAACCCCGAGCCUGCAGUCGAUACGGGCGGACUAGAGUCCGGCAGGGGAGACUGGAAUUCCUGGUGUAGCGGUGAAAUGCGCAGAUAUCAGGAAGAACACCAAUGGCGAAGGCAGCUCUCUGGGACGGUACUGACGCUGAGACGCGAAAGCGUGGGGAGCGAACAGG
rnacentral:rRNA from 1 species